UACAGAGGGGGCAAGCGUUAUUCGGAAUUAUUGGGCGUAAAGGGCGCGUAGGCGGCUUGGCAAGUGGAAGGUGAAAUCCCUCGGCUUAACCGAGGAACUGCCCUCCAAACUGCCUGGCUUGAGACCGGGAGAGGUGAGUGGAAUUCCCAGUGUAGCGGUGAAAUGCGUAGAUAUUGGGAGGAACACCAGUGGCGAAGGCGGCUCACUGGACCGGUACUGACGCUGAUGCGCGAAAGCGUGGGGAGCAAACGGG
rnacentral:rRNA from 1 species